GAUAAUAAAAUAAUAAAACUAAAGGCUAACUAUCAUCUUUUUCAUUCCUUCUCUUCACCACCGAAAAUUUCAGCAAAAAAGGGGGGUUUGAGAGUUCAACAUUUCAGCAACUUCUAUCCCUUACAAAUCUAGAAAUAUGGAAUCCGGACUUAAACUGGGGGAAAACCAAGCUAAUGGACUAAAUCAAACUAGUCGCCUAUAUUUUGUAUACCGAGUGCCGCCAAGCUAGCUCGGGAAUCAAGGGACGUCGGAGGCAUUGAUCACACUAUCACCUAAAGUUUUUGGUAUAGUUAGUUUAAAUGUUUUGAGCGUGGCAUGUAUAGGGACUUGAUCUUUUUGUUUAGUGUCAUGUUGGUGUAGCCAUAAGUGUUGGCUCAUAUGGAUGUGAUGUUCAUUUUGUGUAGGCUAUUGAUGUUGCCUAAUAUUGAUUAUUAUUAAAUGCAUUGAUGAGAAUUGUCAUGGA